GACGAACGCUGGCGGCGUGCUUAACACAUGCAAGUCGAACGAAGUGGCGAACGGGUGAGUAACGCGUAAUCAACCUGCCCUUCAGAGGGGGACAACAGUUGGAAACGACUGCUAAUACCGCAUACUGAUGAGGGGGAUUGCGUCGGAUUAGCUAGUUGGAGGGGGAACGGCCCACCAAGGUGAUGAUCAGUAGCCGGUCUGAGAGGAUGAUCUGCCACAUUGGGACUGGGACACGGCCCAGAAUCCUACGGGAGGCAGCAGUGGGGAAUCUUCCGCAAUGGACGAAAGUCUGACGGAGCAACGCCGCGGGAGUGAUGAAGGCCUUCGGGUUGUAAAGCUCUGUUAAUCGGGACGCGGUACCGGAAUAGAAAGCCACGGCUAACUACGUGCCAGCAGCCGCGGUAAUUC
rnacentral:rRNA from 1 species